GCUGGGCAUGGUAGCGCACACCUGUAGUCCUAGCUACUUGGGAGGCUGAGGCAGGAGAAUUGUUUGAACCCAGGAGGUGGAGGCUGCAGUGAGCAGAGAUCAUGCCACUGCAGUCUACCUUGGGUGACACAGUAAGAAUCUGUCUCAA
rfam:Pan troglodytes isolate Yerkes chimp pedigree #C0471 (Clint) chromosome 3, whole genome shotgun sequence.